UCCAGACUCCUACGGGAGGCAGCAGUAGGGAAUUUUGCGCAAUGGGGGAAACCCUGACGCAGCAACACCGCGUGAAUGUUAAGCCCUUCGGGGUGUAAAGUUCUGUCAAUAGGGACGAAUUUUGACUGUACCUAUAAAGGAAGCACCGGCUAACUCCGUGCCAGCAGCCGCGGUAAUACGGGGGGUGCAAGCGUUGUCCGGAAUCAUUGGGCGUAAAGCGUUCGUAGGCGGUAAAGUAAGUCAGAUGUUAAAGCCCGGGGCUCAACUCCGGUUCGGCAUUUGAUACUACUUGACUAGAAUGCGGUAGAGGUAAAGGGAAUUCCUGGUGUAGCGGUGAAAUGCGUAGAUAUCAGGAGGAACAUCGGUGGCGAAGGCGGUCUGCUGGACAGCAACUGACGCUGAGGCGCGAAAGCGUGGGGAGCAAACAGGAUUAGAUACCCGUGUA
rnacentral:rRNA from 1 species